AUUAUCAAACCAUUUCUAAACUG
rnacentral:snRNA from 1 species